GACGAACGGUGCGAACGUUAUUCGGAAUCACUGGGCUUAAAGGGCGCGUAGGCGGGCUCGCAGGUCAGGGGUGAAAGCCCACGGCUCAACCGUGGAAGUGCCUUUGAUACCGUGAGUCUCGAGGGAGGUAGGGGCGUGCGGAACUUCCGGUGGAGCGGUGAAAUGCGUAGAUAUCGGAAGGAACAUCGGUGGCGAAAGCGGCGCGCUGGACCUCUUCUGACGCUGAGGCGCGAAAGCCAGGGGAGCAAACGGG
rnacentral:rRNA from 1 species